CGCAAUGUAUUUGUAUAUCUCUAUUUAUAUCACCAUACUUUAUUCUAUCGAUCUUACUCUAUUCUAUCUAUCUUACUCUAUUCUAUCUAUCUUACUACCAUUCACCUCAUUUCAUAUGUUAUAGAACCGUUACUUUUCAUUCAAACGAAAUCUUCAUCUUAUUUAUCUCAUCUGUUCAUCAAUUAUUAUUUUCUAUCAUCAUCUUUCACAAUACCAACUUACAUAACUAUUCUUUAUUAUCUACCGUCUUACUUGUAAUAUGACUGACUCAUUAUUUUCAUUUCAUUUUCAUUUUCAUUCAAUAGCGACACUUUAUUCCAUUUCUUAUUAAUCAUCGUCAUUAUCACCUUACACAUAUCCAAUGCAACCAUGUAACUGUAACCAACCCAUCAUCAAUAGUGAGCAUCGUCGUCCUAUUCAAACGAUUACUCUCUUUACUCAUUUACUUAUUUACUUAUUUACUCAUUUACUUAUUUACUCAUCUACUCAUCUACUCAUCUACUCUACUCACUUACUCAUUUACUCAUCUAUUCGUCUUCAACAAUUUCAAUUUUCAUUACGAUACCUUGUCAUUUCAUUCAUCUCUUUACUUUGUAUAUCUAUUUUCAUUUUUUCUUGCGACUUGAUUAUUUACAGAUUUUCUGAUUGUCUAUACUCAAAUACAUACAUCACAUUCUCACCAUACACAUAUCAUAUCCUGUAUAACCGUAACCACCACUCAUUAUUUAACGAAAGCACCACCUCUCAUUACUUGUCGAGUUCAACAUUUUCUUUAAACAAAAUACUGAAAUAGUUGAUCCCAACGAUUUCACUUUUCGUUACCAAUUCUAUGCCAUCGUUUACAACAUUCAUCUCCCAUGACUCUUCAUUAUUCCACAAUA